rnacentral:rRNA from 1 species
GUGAGGAAUUUUCCGCAAUGGGCGAAAGCCUGACGGAGCAAUGCCGCGUGAAUGAUGAAGGCCUAUGGGUUGUAAACUUCUUUUCUCAGAAAAGAAUUAUGACGGUAUCUGAGGAAUAAGCAUCGGCUAACUCUGUGCCAGCAGCCGCGGUAAGACAGAGGAUGCAAGCGUUAUCCGGAAUGAUUGGGCGUAAAGCGUCUGUAGGUUGUUUAAAAAGUAUUCUGUCAAAGAUUAGGGCUUAACCCUAGAUAGGCAGAAUAAACUUUUAAGCUAGAGGUUGGUAGAGGCAGAGGGAAUUCCCGGUGGAGCGGUGAAAUGCGUAGAUAUCGGGAGGAACACCAAAGGCGAAGGCACUCUGCUGGGCCAAUACUAACACUGAGAGACGAAAGCGAGGGGAGCAAAUGGGAUUAGAUACCCCGGUAGUCC